rnacentral:rRNA from 1 species
UACGUAGGGGGCAAGCGUUGUCCGGAAUCAUUGGGCGUAAAGAGCGUGUAGGCGGCCCGAUAAGUCCGCCGUGAAAGUCCAGGGCUCAACCCUGGAAUGCCGGUGGAAACUGUCGGGCUGGAGUCCGGAAGAGGCGAGUGGAAUUCCUGGUGUAGCGGUGAAAUGCGCAGAUAUCAGGAGGAACACCAAUGGCGAAGGCAGCUCGCUGGGACGGUACUGACGCUGAGAGACGAAAGCUAGGGGAGCGAAUGGG